rnacentral:rRNA from 1 species
CCUACGGGAGGCAGCAGUGAGGAAUAUUGGUCAAUGGGCGGGAGCCUGAACCAGCCAAGUCGCGUGAGGGAAGACGGUCCUAUGGAUUGUAAACCUCUUUAGGCGGGGAGCAAUGCCGGGCACGUGUGCCCGGAGGGAGAGUACCCGCAGAAUAAGCAUCGGCUAACUCCGUGCCAGCAGCCGCGGUAAUACGGAGGAUGCGAGCGUUAUCCGGAUUUAUUGGGUUUAAAGGGUGCGUAGGCGGAUUUUUAAGUCAGCGGUAAAAUGUCCGGGCUCAACCCGGGCCGGCCGUUGAAACUGGGGAGCUUGAGUGGGCGAGAAGUAUGCGGAAUGCGUGGUGUAGCGGUGAAAUGCAUAGAUAUCACGCAGAACUCCGAUUGCGAAGGCAGCAUACCGGCGCCCGACUGACGCUGAGGCACGAAAGCGUGGGGAUCGAACAGGAUUAGAUACCCUGGGUC